CAAUAGCGUAUAUUAACGUUGUUGCAGUUAAAAAGCUCGUAGUUGGAUUUCUGGAGGGAGCGUCGGCCCGUAUUUACGAGUGCGUGACGUCUCUGUCCAUCCUUGCGGGAAGGCACGGCAUUGAUUUGCUGUGUCGGAUCGCAUCAUUUACUGUGAAAAAAUUAGAGUGUUCAAAGCAGGCUUUCGCUUGAAUACAUUAGCAUGGAAUAAUAAGAUAGGACUUUGGUGCUAUUUUGUUGGUUGAGCCUAAAGUAAUGAUUAAUAGGGAUAGUUGGGGGCACCUGUAUUGCGUUGUCAGAGGUGAAAUUCUUGGAUUUACGCAAGACAAACAGCUGCGAANGNGUCUGCNAAGGAUGUUUNCAUUA
rnacentral:rRNA from 1 species